GAUGAAGAACGUAGCGAAAUGCGAUAAGUAAUGUGAAUUGCAGAAUUCAGUGAAUCAUCGAAUCUUUGAACGCACCUUGCACUCCUUGGUAUUCCGAGGAGUACGCCUGUUCGAGUGUUAUGAAGCUCUCAAAACGCAAUUGGCUUAAAACCUGAUUGUUGUUUUGGAUUUGAACUUUGCCGUGUUAUAACGGCUGGUUUUAAAAGUAUUAGCUGGUACUAGAACGAAUUGGUUCUACGCAACGUGAUAAUUAUCUGAUCGUUGAGGACAUUCCUUUCACGAGGAAUGGCCAUAGUAAAUUCAAUGGACUGCUUCUAAUCUGGCUUUAAUUCUUUAUUGGAUUAACCACUUUUCAAAUCUGACCUCGAAUCAGGUGGGACUACCCGCUGAACUUAAGCAUAUCAAUAAGCGGAGGA
rnacentral:misc_RNA from 1 species